UACGAAGGGGGCUAGCGUUGCUCGGAAUUACUGGGCGUAAAGGGCGCGUAGGCGGAUAUUUAAGUUGGGGGUGAAAUCCCGGGGCUCAACCUCGGAAUUGCCUUCAAAACUGGAUAUCUUGAGUUCGGGAGAGGUGAGUGGAACUCCGAGUGUAGAGGUGAAAUUCGUAGAUAUUCGGAAGAACACCAGUGGCGAAGGCGACUCACUGGCCCGAUACUGACGCUGAUGCUCGAAAGCUAGGGGAGCAAACAGG
rnacentral:rRNA from 1 species